CAAGUCGAGGGGUAGAGGAAGCUUGCUUCCUUGAGACCGGCGCACGGGUGCGUAACGCGUAUGCAAUCUACCUUGUACAGGGGGAUAGCCCAGAGAAAUUUGGAUUAAUACCCCAUAGUAUAAUGAAACCGCAUGGUUUUAUUAUUAAAGUUCCAACGGUACAAGAUGAGCAUGCGUCCUAUUAGCUAGUUGGUGUGGUAACGGCACACCAAGGCUACGAUAGGUAGGGGUCCUGAGAGGGAGAUCCCCCACACUGGUACUGAGACACGGACCAGACUCCUACGGGAGGCAGCAGUGAGGAAUAUUGGACAAUGGGCGCAAGCCUGAUCCAGCCAUGCCGCGUGCAGGAAGAAGCAUCUAUGGUGUGUAAACUGCUUUUGUACGGGAAGAAACACCUCUACGUGUAGAGGCUUGACGGUACCGUAAGAAUAAGGAUCGGCUAACUCCGUGCCAGCAGCCGCGGUAAUACGGAGGAUCCAAGCGUUAUCCGGAAUCAUUGGGUUUAAAGGGUCCGUAGGCGGUUUAAUAAGUCAGUGGUGAAAGCCCAUCGCUUAACGAUGGAACGGCCAUUGAUACUGUUAGACUUGAAUUAUUGGGAAGUAACUAGAAUAUGUAGUGUAGCGGUGAAAUGCUUAGAUAUUACAUGGAAUACCAAUUGCGAAGGCAGGUUACUAUCAAUAUAUUGACGCUGAUGGACGAAAGCGUGGGGAGCGAACAGGAUUAGAUACCCUGGUAGUCCACGCCGUAAACGAUGGAUACUAGCUGUUCGGAGCAAUCUGAGUGGCUAAGCGAAAGUGAUAAGUAUCCCACCUGGGGAGUACGUUCGCAAGAAUGAAACUCAAAGGAAUUGACGG
rnacentral:rRNA from 1 species